rnacentral:rRNA from 1 species
UGAACGCUGGCGGCGUGCCUAAUACAUGCAAGUCGAACGAUGAAGCUUCUAGCUUGCUAGAAGUGGAUUAGUGGCGCACGGGUGAGUAAGGUAUAGUUAAUCUGCCCUACACAAGAGGACAACAGUUGGAAACGACUGCUAAUACUCUAUACUCCUGCUUAACACAAGUUGAGUAGGGAAAGUUUUUCGGUGUAGGAUGAGACUAUAUAGUAUCAGCUAGUUGGUAAGGUAAUGGCUUACCAAGGCUAUGACGCUUAACUGGUCUGAGAGGAUGAUCAGUCACACUGGAACUGAGACACGGUCCAGACUCCUACGGGAGGCAGCAGUAGGGAAUAUUGCGCAAUGGGGGAAACCCUGACGCAGCAACGCCGCGUGGAGGAUGACACUUUUCGGAGCGUAAACUCCUUUUCUUAGGGAAGAAUUCUGACGGUACCUAAGGAA